rnacentral:rRNA from 1 species
AUUGAACGCUGGCGGCAGGCCUAACACAUGCAAGUCGAGCGGAUGAAGGGAGCUUGCUCCUGGAUUCAGCGGCGGACGGGUGAGUAAUGCCUAGGAAUCUGCCUGGUAGUGGGGGAUAACGUCCGGAAACGGGCGCUAAUACCGCAUACGUCCUGAGGGAGAAAGUGGGGGAUCUUCGGACCUCACGCUAUCAGAUGAGCCUAGGUCGGAUUAGCUAGUUGGUGGGGUAAAGGCCUACCAAGGCGACGAUCCGUAACUGGUCUGAGAGGAUGAUCAGUCACACUGGAACUGAGACACGGUCCAGACGCCUACGGGAGGCAGCAGUGGGGAAUAUUGGACAAUGGGCGAAAGCCUGAUCCAGCCAUGCCGCGUGUGUGAAGAAGGUCUUCGGAUUGUAAAGCACUUUAAGUUGGGAGGAAGGGCAGUAAGUUAAUACCCUGCUGUUUUGACGUUACCAACAGAAUAAGCACCGGCUAACUUCGUG